UUCCAGGAAAAGCCUCUAAGCAUCAGGUAACAUCAAAUCGUACCCCAAACCGACACAGGUGGUCAGGUAGAGAAUACCAAGGCGCUUGAGAGAACUCGGGUGAAGGAACUAGGCAAAAUGGUGCCGUAACUUCGGGAGAAGGCACGCUGAUAUGUAGGUGAAGCGACUUGCUCGUGGAGCUGAAAUCAGUCGAAGAUACCAGCUGGCUGCAACUGUUUAUUAAAAACACAGCACUGUGCAAACACGAAAGUGGACGUAUACGGUGUGACGCCUCCCCGGUGCCGGAAGGCUAAUUGAUGGGGUUAGCGCAAGCGAAGCUCUUGAUCGAAGCCCCGGUAAACGGCGGCCGUAACGAUAACGGUCCUAAGGUAGCGAAAUUCCUUGUCGGGUAAGUUCCGACCUGCACGAAUGGCGUAAUGAUGGCCAGGCUGUCUCCACCCGAGACUCAGUGAAAUUGAACUCGCUGUGAAGAUGCAGUGUACCCGCGGCAAGACGGAAAGACCCCGUGAACCUUUACUAUAGCUUGACACUGAACAUUGAGCCUUGAUGUGUAGGAUAGGUGGGAGGCUCAGAAGUGUGGACGCCAGUCUGCAUGGAGCCGACCUUGAAAUACCACCCUUUAAUGUUUGAUGUUCUAACGUUGACCCGUAAUCCGGGUUGCGGACAGUGUCUGGUGGGUAGUUUGACUGGGGCGGUCUCCUCCUAAAGAGUAACGGAGGAGCACGAAGGUUGGCUAAUCCUGGUCGGACAUCAGGAGGUUAGUGCAAUGGCAUAAGCCAGCUUGACUGCGAGCGUGACGGCGCGAGCAGGUGCGAAAGCAGGUCAUAGUGAUCCGGUGGUUCUGAAUGGAAAGGCCAUCGCUCAACGGAUAAAAGGUACUCCGGGGAUAACAGGCUGAUACCGCCCAAGAGUUCAUAUCGACGGCGGUGUUUGGCACCUCGAUGUCGGCUCAUCACAUCCUGGGGCUGGAGUAGGUCCCAAGGGUAUGGCUGUUCGCCAUUUAAAGUGGUACGCGAGCUGGGUUUAGAACGUCGUGAGACAGUUCGGUCCCUAUCUGCCGUGGGCGCUGGAGAACUGAGGGGGGCUGCUCCUAGUACGAGAGGACCGGAGUGGACGCAUCACUGGUGUUCGGGUUGUCAUGCCAAUGGCACUGCCCGGUAGCUAAAUGCGGAAGAGAUAAGUGCUGAAAGCAUCUAAGCACGAAACUUGCCCCGAGAUGAGUUCUCCCUGACCCUUUAAGGGUCCUGAAGGAACGUUGAAGACGACGACGUUGAUAGGCCGGGUGUGUAAGCGCAGCGAUGCGUUGAGCUAACCGGUACUAAUGAACCGUGAGGCUUAACC
rnacentral:rRNA from 1 species